rnacentral:rRNA from 1 species
UGUAAAGUUCAAGCUCCGAUUAUGAGGGCGAAACCGCGAAUGGCUCAUUAAAUCAGUCAUAAUCUACUUGAUUGUUUAAAGAUUACAUGGAUAACUGUGGUAAUUCUAGAGCUAAUACAUGCACAAAAGGGGCGACUCUUGCAAGAGAGAAGCUCUGCGUUUAUUAGACUAAGACCAAUGAUUGCUUGCAAUCUUUCUUAAGGUGACUCUGAGUAAAUAACGGGUGAAAGCCCGUGUUGCUGACCUGACAUACCAAAAGGCCCGCAAGGGUCUGUCAGGCAAAUCAAUCGAGUGUCUGCUCUAUCAACUGUGGAUGGUAGGGUAAUUGCCUACCAUGGUGAUGACGGGUAACGGGGAGUUAGGGCUCGACUCCGGAGAACAAGCCUGAGAAACGGCUAGUAGGACUAAGGUCUGCAGCAGGCGCGAAACUUACACAAUGCUAGAUUACCUAUAGCGAUGUAGUGAAGAAAAAUAACGAUGUACUUCCGUUAUUACACGGUAGUACAAUUGGAAUGAGACGACUCUAAACCAGUUAGUCGAGUAACAAAUGGAGGGCAAGUCUGGUGCCAGCAGCCGCGGUAAUUCCAGCUCCAUUAGCAUACAUUAAAGUUGUUGCGGUUAAAAAGCUCGUAGUUGAAUUUUACGCGGGCUCUAUUGGGAUGCGACCGAAAAGGUUGGCCGGUUAUUACUGGUCCAACUGGUCGUCAUGCCCUAUAGGAACCCGCUGUUUCGUCACUUAAUCGAGUGCGAAGCGGGCUAGCACAAUGGCACGCCUCGGCGCGCCUUGCACUAGCAUGUUUACCUUGAGAAAAUUAGAGUGCUCACAGCAGGCAGUUGGGGUGUCAAAGCUCCUUUAUGCUUGAAUAAUGUUGCAUGGAAUAAUAGAAUACGGCCUCGGUUCUAUUCUGUUGGUCUUAUAGAACAACAAACAAGUUGGUUAAAGCGAUCAAAAGUCCGUUUGUGAGUGUGGCUUCAUCGUACAUCUGUUUCAAUGUUAUGUUGCCUGGGGCCUUAAAAUCUCAGUGCCUUGCGUUGUACAGUGUCGACGUGGCUAUCCAAGCACUCCUGAUGUGGCUAGCUUCUCAACCAACUGAGGCAAUGGUUAAAAGAAAUAGUCGCGGCGGCAUCAGUACUGCAUCGUGAGAGGUGAAAUUCUUAGACCGAUGCAAGACUAACUGAAGCGAAAGCGUUUGCCGAGGAUAUUUUCAUUAAUCAAGAACGAAAGUUAGAGGUUCGAAGGCGAUCAGAUACCGCCCUAGUUCUAACCAUAAACGUUGCCAACUAGCAAUUGGGUUGCGAUUCCUUUAAUCGGAGCGUAAAAACUCCGAUCAUUAUGAUCCACCCAGCGGCUCUCGUAGGGAAACCAAAGUGUUUGGGUUCCGGGGGAAGUAUGAUUGCAAAGUUGAAACUUAAAGGAAUUGACGGAAGGGCACCACCAGGAGUGGAGCCUGCGGCUUAAUUUGACUCAACACGGGGAAACUUACUAGAUUAGAACUCUGGAAUGAUUGACAGAUUGAUAGCUCUUUCUUGAUUCAGAGGAUGGUGGUGCAUGGCCGUUCUUGAUUCGUAUUCCGAAACGUCUGCUUAAUUGCGAUAACGAGUGAGACCUCACCCAACUAACUAGUCGUUUGGUGCGCUUGGGACGUUAAAGUCUCGGUGGAUCCGGCAGGUAGGCGGCUAAAACCGUUUGCUUGUCGUCCAUUUGAGAUGUCCUCUGCUCGCCUGCGGACUUCUUAGAGGGAUAAACGGUGUUUUAGCCGUAAGAAACGAGGCAAUAACAGGUCUGUGAUGCCCUUAGAUAUUCUAGGCCGCACGCGUGCUACAAUGGCGUGUGCAGAAAGCUUGUUCGAGGUUCGUCCGGAGAGAACUAGUCGGUUGGUGGCCGUUGGGGGCAACUCUAGCGGUUAUCGUCGGAAAAGUGACUUCGGUUAGCGGGCCGAGAGAAACCGUAAUCGAAAGGUUACGGCAAUCAUAAAUACACGCCGUGAUUUGGGAUUGGGGAUUGCAAUUGUUGCCCAUGAACGAGGAAUUCCCAGUAAGCGCAAUUCAUCAUAUUGCGUUGAUUACGUCCCUGCCCUUUGUACACACCGCCCGUCGCUACUACCGAUUGGAAGUUUUAGUGAGGCAUUUGGACCUGCAGGCCAAAGGGGGGGCAACCUCUCUGGGUCAGCGGGGAAGUCUGUCGAACUCAAAUUUCUAGAGGAAGUAAAAGUCGUAACAAGGUUUCCGU